AUAAGGUCUAACCUGCCCACUGAAUUUUGUUUGAAGGGCCGCAGUAUUUUGACUGUGCAAAGGUAGCAUAAUCAUUAGUCUUUUAAUUGAAGGCUGGUAUGAAUGGUUGGACGAGAUACAAGCUGUGUCAUAAAAAUUAAAAUUUGAAUUUAUCUUUUUAGUUAAAAGACUAAAAUAAAAUUAAAAGACGAGAAGACCCUAUAGAGUUUUAUAUAAUUAAUAUUUAAAUUAUUAAGAUUUUUUAAAUUAAAAUAUUAUUUUAUAUUUUGUUGGGGUGACAAUAAAAUUUAUAAAACUUUUAUUUUUAUUAAACAUUAAUUUAUGAUUAGAUGAUCCAGUUUUAUUGAUUAUAAAUUUAAGUUACCUUAGGGAUAACAGCGUAAUUUUUUUUGAGAGUUCUUAUCGACAAAAAAGAUUGCGACCUCGAUGUUGGAUUAAGAGUAAUUUUGGGUGUAGAAGUUCAAAAU
rnacentral:rRNA from 1 species